rnacentral:rRNA from 1 species
AUUGAACGCUGGCGGCAGGCUUAACACAUGCAAGUCGAGCGGGGUGAUGGUGCUUGCACUAUCACUUAGCGGCGGACGGGUGAGUAAUGCUUAGGAAUCUGCCUAUUAGUGGGGGACAACAUCUCGAAAGGGAUGCUAAUACCGCAUACGUCCUACGGGAGAAAGCAGGGGAUCACUUGUGACCUUGCGCUAAUAGAUGAGCCUAAGUCGUAUUAGCUAGUUGGUGGGGUAAAGGCCUACCAAGGCGACGAUCUGUAGCGGGUCUGAGAGGAUGAUCCGCCACACUGGGACUGAGACACGGCCCAGACUCCUACGGGAGGCAGCAGUGGGGAAUUUUGGACAAUGGGGGCAACCCUGAUCCAGCCAUGCCGCGUGAGUGAAGAAGGCCUUCGGGUUGUAAAGCUCUUUCGGCCGGGAAGAAAUCGCCAUCUCUAAUAUAGGUGGUGGAUGACGGUACCGGAAUAAGAAGCACCGGCUAACUACGUGCCAGCAGCCGCAGUAACAC